UUAAUAACUCGAAAACUAAAAGUUCAAAUUGUUUUUUUCCACAUCAAUAGAAAGGUACACAUCACUUGCAGAUGGUAGAGCAUUGAUAGUGAACUUUUAUGUGACCUUUGCGGAAAUAGAGGCAAAUGUUCGUCCGAAAUGUGUUAACGGUUAACGGCAAGCGUACCCACCUCUGCUCUUGGAACACCUCUUGGUCUUCCUCAAGGAAUUCCAGCUGAAGGAAUCCCAAAAGAAAUCUCUAGAGAAAUCCCUAAACAAAUUUCGGAAAUAGUUGAAAUUUCCAGAGAAAUCCCAGGAGGUGCUACUAGAGAAAUCUCCAGUGAAAUCCUAUAGGAAUGUGAGGGAGAAACUAGUAAAUUGAGAAAUGAAUUUGUGAAAAAAAAAAUCGCGUUCUGAUGGGAUUCGAACGACUUUGUACUCGCCAGACCGCAGUAUGGCCAUAACUUCGAGCGUUCGUUCGGCAUGGUUGUUUUGUUUUUGAAAAUUUCUACGGUAGUUUCAUUGGAAUUUAAUUUGCAAUUUUUUGGAUUUUUUUUUUCUAUAAUUUAAAUGGCUAUUAGUAAUUUUUUCAGCAAUUUUUUUUUCAGUUGUUUUGCAUUUUUUUUUCAGGCAAUUUUAUCGUGAUCAUACUUUUAUUCCUUAAUGAUUUUAUUGUAUUUAUAUUAUUUGCUUCCAAAAAUUGCUGAAUUGGAAAUUCAUAAAUUCUCAACUGGGUUUGCUCAAAGAAAAUCAUAUAAAAUUCACGAAAAACUUCCUGAAAAAUCCCAAAGAAAUUACCGGAAAAAAAUCCAUCAAAAUUACCUUAAAACUUUCAAAGUAGUUGUCAAAAGAAUUCAUAUAAUAAUUACCAGAGAAACACGUGAAGAAAAUAUAAGGGCUUUUUAAAGAAUUUUCCGAAAUCAUCAGAGGAAUUUCUGAAAAAAAUAAGAAAGAAUUUUAAAGAACCGCCAUAGGUUUUUUUCUUAAAUAAGUUCCCGAAGGAAAUCUUUAAGGAAUUUGCCGGAUCAAUUUCCAAAGAAAUUACUGAAGAAAUACCCAAAGUAAUAAUCGAAGUUUCCAAAAUUUGCAAAAGAAUUGCUGAUGGAAUUCCCAAAUAAAUCUUCAAUGCAAGUAACAUCGGAACUACCGAAGGUAUUCCGAAACCAUCUGCUGCAAGAAUUCCUUUCACAAUUACUGAAGAAAUGUAGAAGAAAUUGUCUAAAGAAUUUUCAUUAAAAUCAUGGAAACGAUGUAUAAAAGAACUUCUAAUGGAACUGUCGAUGAAAUUUUCAGAGGAUGCGUGAAGGUGUUUAGUAUCAAAUAAAUUCUUAAAUUCUUCUUCUUCUUUAUGGCUCUACGUCUCCACUGAGACUUGGCCUGCCUCUCUCUGGGAUAGAACAAAAGAAAUCUUAAAUGAAAUAAAGUGCAAAACAAUUGCCAGAAAUAUUCCCUGAGGAAUUACCAAAAGAAUGUUUUGCAAAAAACACAAAAUUCGAGUGUAUUCGAAAUUAACGAAGCUGAAAUUUUUACUGAUUACUACAAUGUUGGCUUUACGUAAGUCAAAAUUUCAGCUUUAUACAGCAUUUCGUUCACCAGAUAUACGAAGAUCGUCGAAAUCGAAAUUUGGUGCGAGCAUCAGAAUCCCGAAGAAAAAAAUCGAAGUUCGCUCGUACCAAAUUUCGGGUUUCAACAAAAUUGAUAAUAUGUAUGUUCGUGAAGCUUCAGAACUGAACUCAGGAUAAUCGAGUUUAAAUUUUGUAGUUUUAAGAAUCAUACUCACAAUUUUUCUGUAAAAGUAUUUUCAUGUCCAUGUGGUAGUGUUCAACGAAUGAAACAAAAUCGCUAUCGCCGUUAAUGCAAACAUUUAUCCUGAUUUUGCAAUUUAAAGUAUUCAUAACUCUUACAAUUGUUCUUGAAAACUGUUUUUAUAAGGGUUGUUAUCAUGCAAUAAAGCAAAGAGGAUUUCACGAUAAAUACAAAUUAACGCAAAUUUGGGGAUGUUUCAUAGUUUCAGAGAUUUACACUUCUAAUAAUUGCUCUGAAAAUGUAUUCUUACGGACCUGAUUGUUUUCAAUCCACAAAAAAGGGAUUGUCGUGAUGAUUGUUAAGUUCAAACUAAAAAUACAAAUGCCAUGUAUUAUACGCAAUUGAGUUUUCAAACCUCACAUGAUGGGAUAGUGUUAAAUCAGUACAACGGUUCGAUUUUUUUAUUCAAAGCUGUUUUUUUUAAAUAUAGCGCGUUUCAAUUUGCGGGUUAAUUUUUCCCGCGACGUAGUACAUACAGGGGAUGGCCAAAAUGUUUGGGAUAGGCAACUUUUUUUCUCCCACAAAAAAAUUCAACAUGCUGUAACUUUUCAUAGAGUGCAUCAAAAAAUCUCAAAUUUUGACUGUUUGUCAACCUAUUAUAUGUGCAUCAUUGGUACAAAUCUGGGCUUGAUUGCUUAAUUUUUCGCGAAGUUAGAACCGAUCGCGUAAAACACUAUUUUUUAGACAACUAUUUUUUGAACUGUCAUAUCUCGGAAACCAGUGAACCGAAUUGAAUGAAUUUUUUAACGUUUAUCAACAAUAUAUUGAUACUUAAUACGACGUUAUAAAAUGUAAUAAUUUCUCACGACGAAUUAAGUUAUACCGGGUUGAAAUUUUUACUCAUAUAGAGGAAAAUAAGCAAAAUUUACAAUACCACACAAAAAUUAUUAAAUGUGUUCUUCCUUCAAUCUAAAUAGGCUCUAAUAUAUCUGAUUAGAGAUAAUUUGAGAACAGAACUGGAAAAUCGUUGGAUAUCAACACUAAAAUUUAUUGACAUUGAUGUAAAAAAAUGACAUUUUUUCGAGAAAAAUCCGAAAAGUGUCAAUCCAUGAUAACUUUUUUCAACGUUUAAAAAGUACCUAUGUUUAAAUUGUUUGUGAAGCAUUCACAUAUUGUUAGUGGACGUUCAAAACUUCAUUCAAUUCGGUUCACUGGUUUCCGAGAUAUGACAGCUCAAAAAUGAGUUGUUUAAAAAAAGGUGUUUUACCCGAACGGUUCUAACUUUGCGAAAUAAUUAUCAAUCGAGCCCAAAUUUGUACCAAUGAUGCACGUAUGAUAGGUUGACAAACAGUCAAAAUUUGAGAUUUUUUGAUGCGCUCUAUGAAAAGUUAUAGCAUGUUGAACUUUUUUGUGAGAGAAAAAAAAGUUGCCUAUCCCAAACAUUUUGGCCAUCCCCUGUAUAUCAUUAUGCAAAGAAAUUGAGGGUGGAUCGGUAACACCUUUUACAAAAAAAAAAAGCAAAACAACCCGAAAGCCAGUUUCACCCCCUAGGCACCCCCUAGGAAAAAAUCCUAGAUACGCCAAUGGGCAACCAGUUCGAUAUAGUACAAUUAGAAUAGAAUACCUACAUUUAGGCGCUGUACAAAAUUUGAAGUACAGCAUCCAAUUGGAAUCGCUCACGCAGUGCCCUAGUGGACAAUAGAGCUGUAAAUUAGCUUAAGUGAUUGAAGAAUAAAAAAAAAACUUAAAAACUUGAAGUUUUGAUAGAAUUUGUUCUGGAACGUAUUAAGUUGGAUAUGCUCAAGAAUUAAUUUUCGACAAGUUUUAGUGUAGUUUAGUAAGUUCGAAAACAGUCAAAAAACACCAAAUUUAUUUGAUGCACCUCUUAAUUUCAAUGGAUUUGGCUGAAAUUUGGACCAGUUACUUCUUUUUGGAUGCCAAUCAAAAUAUGGGGGUCGAUAUGGGAGAGAAUCAGAGAACAUUUUUGAAAAAGUGGACAGGCCUAAUGUGUACUGUUUCUGAAAUUAUAAAAACAGAAGAUAGAUAAAAUUAUCAGGAAAGGUAAAAUUUUUACUUUAAAAAAAAAAAAUUACUUUUCAAAAUGAGCAUCAAUGGAUGAUGGCGUGUGGCAUGGCUUCCAGCAUUUUCAAUAAUUUAUUACAAAAAGCUUCCGGGUAACCUAGAACGGGGAUCGUCGUGGGAUAUAUUACAUGAUAAUCUCCAGAAUAUUUCAUCCCAGAGAAUUUCAUUAAUCCAUGCUUCCCAGGCCAUUUUGACUCCAAGAUAACAGAUUUUUUGGUACCACUUAGGGCCGAUUUCUUCACCUCGGCUUAACUGGUAAGCCAGGCUUACCCAUAUAGUUAAACCUGGUUUAACGCUUAAGCCAGGGUGAAGAAAUCGCCCCUUAGAACAAAACUCAAUUUAACACUGACAAAACUUGCACAAAUUGUACAAGUAUGUAUGGACGACAUUUGUGGAAUAUGAUAAGCUUUGAUUUUGAGCUAUAAUCCCUACUGUAUGUCUUUCGGUUCAAUAGUUAUGAUUUUUUAAAGUGUAGAAAAGCCCGAAAUUACCAAAUCGACUUGAAGCAUAUCGAAAUCUUUAUCAAUCUACAUAGCUGAAAAUUUGACCAAGAAACUUUCGUAAGCUUUCUUCUAGUGUUUAUCCCUGUUGUACAAGAGUUUGAGCAAGGAUAUUUCUUAAAGUUUCUCGGGGGGUAUCUUUUGCAGUUUUACUUGAGAUUCCUGUCAGAGUUCCUCCCGGGACUUCUCUCAGAAGAUUCUUCCGAUAUUGGUCUUAGGAUGCCUUUCAGAGUUUUUCUGGAUCUUGGACUUUCUCGUAAGAUUUAUUACCUUCUGGGAUUCCUGCAAUUAUUGCUGAUAUUUCUCAUAGAUUUUCUUUCCGUGUUUUUUUAAGAGCAUUUUAUAAGGUUUUCCUCAUAGUAGUUGUCUCGUUAAUAUCUUCCCGUUCCACGGCGGAACAGUAGUAUACAGGAUACCUUGCAGUGAUCCUCCUGAGAUUUAUUUACAGAAUUUCUCGGGAUUAUUCUCAUAGGUCUACCGGAAUCCCUACUGCAAAUUGUAUCGAGAUCCUAAGUGCUCCUUUUGGUUGUUCCCGCAGUAAAAAAAUACUAUCCAUUUUAAAAAUUCCCGGAAAAAUAUCGGAAGGAAUCCAUAUAACAUUUUGUGAGAAACUCCGCAAAGACUGCGGGAGGAAAUAUUAAGGAAAUUCAAGGAGGCACUCCAUAAGUCCAAGAGAAAUCUCGCGAGGAAACUCCUAGAGAAAUAUAAAAAAAAACUCUCUCGAAGAAAUCCCUGAAAUCUCUUCUCGGGGAAUUCAGCGAGAAACUUUGGAAGCAUAUCGGGAAAACCUCUGGAAUACAUUCCGGAAGGUACCCCUGUAGGGGCCCAGAGACAAUGUGGAACACAAUAAACUGUAUUGUGAAAAUUAUCAAAACAUUUCAUUGAAUUCAAUGAACAAACGGGACAGUCUAUACUUAAGGAAAAAAACCUAUUUAUUAUCGCACUGAACUGUUUUCGCAAAAUUACUUCUAAACGAGAAGAACGUAAUCUGCCCAUGUUCGUAUUGUCGACGUAACCACCAUUGGCAAAAUCAUCAUAUACAAGCUAAUAUCUGAUGCAUCUGUGUAUAUGGCCAGUUUUAUUCAAUGCAACACAAGAUCUAACCCUCAGUUAGAUGGCAACGAGGAUAAAAAUCUUGUUUUUCGAAUUAUUCAUUGCUCAAAUUUCAAAAGUGUGUUGAAAACUACAGUGACGCUUACAUCGUCUAUGCGAAUAUGGGCAAUAAUGUCAAGGGUUUUGGUGAAUGUGUUCUUAUCAUCUCACAGAAAGAGAGAAUAAGUUAGUGAGAAUAAAACAUUAAAAAGGGCACACUGUUCUCCUUGAAAAUUUCAUCAAGGUUUUUUUUUCGUUCUUCCUCACUUAUCUCUUUAGAGACGGAUGGGUCACAUUAGCCCAGCCUAGAAAACCAACCUUUACAAACGUGUUCUAGACCAGCGAGGUUGCAUUCAGAAAGGCCAAAAUACCAUCUCCAAAGGGUUAAACAGGGUGUCUACUACUUGCAAAAACCUGGAAAACCGGGAAAUUUAUUUAACAGUGAAAAAACUGAAAUACCUACACAGGCACAGGGAAGAUCGUGAAAACUAAGGGAAAUUUUCACCGAUAAAAAAAAUAAAACAUUGGGUCGUAUGAUAAAAGUAGCGAAUUUUAUUACAAGAUCUACUCAGAAACAGAGUCUAAUGAGUUUACUACAUCGUGGAUAUGAAUAAAAAAUCGAUUAUGUAGUGUAAGUGUAUCUUUCUAAAAAAUCAACUACAACGAUUUUUGCAGAAAUUCCGUCAGGUUUUCAUUGGAAAUAACUCUUGAAAUUUCUCCCAGGGUUUUUUUUUAAGUACAAGAUUACUUCCUUUUCACACCAUUUGUCUUGAUAUUACUUUUCUUAAUUUCUUCCGGAGAUUCUUCCGGAUUCCUACCAGCAUUUUUCCAAGAUUCGAACAUUUCUUUUCAAUAUUCUUCCUUGAGAAUCUGCCAGGGCUUUGGAACUCCGAUCGAUUUCAUCUGAAAUUUUUACGGGUAUCAUACAUAGUUUGUCCAGAGGUUUUUCUACUAUUGUUCCCAGAAUUCCCGUGGGUUUCUACCAGGAUUUAUCUCGAGACCUCCACAAGAGUUUCUCUCAGGAUAUACCGAAGAUGUUGCCGCGGAAUAUCUGUUGAAGUUUCUCUCGGGACUCCUCUUGAAGGAGUUAUUUCUGGGAUUUCUACUAAAGCUUCUCCAUGGAUUUUAAGGAAUUCUUUCAUUAAUUUUCUGCAUGAAAUUCUUCCGAAGCUUCUGUGAAACUUGGUAUUCCAUAUGGCAUAUAUUCGGCUUCCAGUCACGGAAAAGCGUUGAUUUUUUUAGAUCCUUUCGAUCCUGUGGUUGGGAUCGUCAUCAGGGCCUCUUUAUUUUGAAAGGGGGGGGGGAGUUGUACAAUUGUGUUGUUUUUAUGAUAGAUGUAACUACUCACUUGAUGUGAAUCAACUUGUUUGAGAUUCGUGUUAAUCGCACGGCGGAAUGUCGCUUUUUGUUUUGCACCGCACUUGUUUUACUGCGAUUGGAAAAUUUGAUUAUUAUGGAUAUGAUUUUUGAAUUGCAUUUGAUCACCUUGGACCCUAGCACUUUGAUUGAAAUGGUGGGUGGGUACAUAGUUCGAGUCACAAUACUUGGCACUUUGAGAGCACUUCUAUUCGUGCUAGCCGAGAAGGAAUUACUCUGGGGUGCUUGACUCCUGUGUUUUUUUGAAGACAUUUCCGAUAGCUUUCUUCUAUCUAGAUAUCUUCUUGGAUUUCUACAGAAGUUUUUUUUUGGUAUAUUUCCCAAAGGUUCUCGCGGAACGGAACGGAACGCGGAAAGGAUCUCUUUUGAGGCUUGUCCCGGAACUUUAUUACAAGUUUUAUUUUUAUGUUCAGCAUUUAAUGUACUAUUUUGACUUGUAAGCCUUUUUUAAGUGUAGUGCUCUGAAGUAAAAGAGCACCAUGAGAUCAAAGCAUUCUCAUUUUUGAUGUCUUAUUUUCAGGUCAUUUCGGGCAGACAACUAUAGGAAUCGUUCCCUUACAGGGACAUCAAAACGUCUUCUAUUGAAAACCGAAUCAGAAUGCCCCCCCCUUAUGCCUGAUUUAGACAGUGAAGGUGACUUGAUUCAAGUCAAUGUAAAAUGCCCAAUUGGGUUUUUUAAAUUUAGAAAAAUUUAAUAAUUUUAUAUUUUAAAACAAAAGAGCACCUUUUUCUAAGCCUCUAUGAUUUUUUUCAGAUUUUUAGAACUUUGUUUUGAUACCUAAAAUCAAUUUCUAAAAGAUUUAUUCAAAUCACCUUUUGACAGCUGGGCAACUGCUUGACAGCUCCACCCAGUACAAAAUCCGACGAGGGGUGAUUCGACAAAUCGCACCUAUACUAACAUCAAAUUGAUUUUUAAAUAGGUUCCCGGGCUCCAAAAUUCAUGAAAAUUUGGAUUUCGGUUCAGUUUGGCGUGCAGAUUCAGAAUAUGCAAUUAUCUCAACAUCGCUUAAAAAGCCAAUUGAAUGCGAAUUGAACGUGUAAACACCACCAUUCAUCUCAGUUGAGCAACUUACUUGACUUGAACGAAAGUUGAACAUGUUGAACUUUUUCAUUCAAAUCAAACGAAAUCAUCUCACUUGCCUCGUCUAAACUCGCGUUUCAUUUGAGUUGAGUUCAAGUCAUCUGUCAAUGAGAUGAAUUCAAAUCAGUUUGCUUACACACCGCACGAAUUGAACAAUGUAAACACUUGCGUCAACUCAGAUGCAUUCAAGAGGACACUCAAGCCAUUUGCUCAGUCUAAACACAUUAUUCCAUUGGAUUGAACAUGUUUGGUAAGUUAGCAAGUGAAAUGUUCGUUUCAGUUGAACAAUGUAAACCAGGCAUUGAGAUUAAAAAUUCCUAGACCAAACUCAAGCUAUGAAAACAACUAAUGCUGCGAAAAAAUACGACACAGGAUUGACUAAUGGGCCAACAACAUUUAUGAAACCUGCUAUUGGAAAUGGUUAUUUCUGUCAAGCAGUUGCCCAGUUAUCAAAAGGUGAUACUAAAAUAUCUUUUUGAAAAUGAUUUCAGGUAGGUUACGAAAUUAAGUUUCAAAAAUCUAAAAAAUAUACACACAAAAUUUGAAAACCCAAUUACAGGACGCAGCCUUACAGAAAUUCUUGAAUUGAUCCCCCAAGUAAUUUCUGUAGAAACGUCUACAAGAGCUCCCAGAUACAUCCUUUGAGCAAUUUCUGAAGGAAAUCCAAUUGCAAACUCCGAAGAAACCCGUAGAGGGAUCUCCGAAAAAAAAAACUGGAGUAAUUCGUAGAAUAAUCAUUGGAAGUAUUCCUAGUGGCAUCCCUGUUAGGAUUAUAGAUGAAAUUCCUGGAGAAAUCUACGAAACAAUUAAAGAAAAAAUGUUCUGGGGGAACAUCUGGAGCAAAUACUGGAGGACUCCCAGCAGAAAUGGCUUGAGAAAUUCUAGGAGAAUUCCCUGCAAGAAAUUCUUGGAGAAUACCUACAGGAGUUCCGAAAGAAAUAGCUAGAUGAAUUCCUUAACCCUAGUAACGAUGUUAGGGUCAAUAUGACCCAGACGUUGAACGUGCAUUACACCAUCGUGGUGCGAAAACCCGAACAUCUUAGGAAGGUUAAGCAAUACAGGUAUUCUUCGAUAUAACGUACCCUCGAUAUAGCGUACCCUCGAUAUAGCGAAUUCGAUAUAACGUACAUUUUGCUUCGAUAUAACGUACAACAUUGAAAAUUUUUAUUUUUCCCACGAAUAACCCUUAGAUAAACUACGAAAUCACUCAAAUCAAUGUUUUGUUGCAGCAUUAGUCUUGUUACCCAGAAUAAGCGCAAUUUGGGGAAAAAUUUAGUGUACGUUAUAUCGAAGCAAAAUGUACGUUAUAUCGAAGCACAAAAACGAAAUGACUUUUUCGUCAAAACUCAAGUUUUUCAUUAUUGGUUUUGUAAAUUUCACUGAAAUCAUUAUUUGGGAUUAAUUUCACGUCGAAUACAUCAAUACUAGCAUAAAAAAUAAUAAAUUUUUCUCUGCUUCGAUAUAACGUACACUUCGAUAUAACGUACAAAGAGAAAACUUUUUUGUACGUUAUAUCGAAGAGUACCUGUACCAAUAUAGAUAUUCCUGCAGGAAUACUACGAAGAAGUGUUGGAAGAAUCCUAAGAGAAACCCUCGGAAAACCAUACAAGAAGCCCUAUAGGGAAACCUAUGGAGGAUUCCUUAAGAAAUACCCCGAGGAAUUUCUUAAGAAAUUCCUGAAACCUCUGAAGAAUUUCUAGAGGAAUCUCACCAAUAUUUCCUCAAGAAAUCCUAAGAGGAAAUUACUAAAGAAUCCUUAGGAAAAUCCCCCACGGAGUCAUUCUAGGAGGAAUUACUAAAUAGAGAAAUCUCUACAGAAUGUGUGGCACAAAGCUUCCUACAAGCUGCUCUAUCCCAUACAUUUUUUUUUCGAACUACACAAUCAUACACAACAUCUACCACUUAAGUAGGUGAAAAGCUACAUAGUCGCGCAGCAAGAUCUAAGUUUUAAGAAUGGCCAAUCAUCGUGCACUCGCUGCCAGCCCUGUAUUACAACAAAUGAAUGCAGUGUGAGUUAUAGUUUUUGAUUUUCAUUCGGUUCGUUGCACGACGACCAUCGAUUUCCGAAUCGUGAUGACUAAUAAAUUCUACGUGUUAACUGAACACUCGUUCUAUACGCAAUACGCAAGCAAUAUUAAUGGAGGGAGGUUCGUUCAUUGCACUACUGCGGUCAGGUGAAAACUGAAAAGGGGUGGAAUGAGCAUGAGGAUGGGUGACACUUACCUCGGCGAUUGAAGGGACGAACCCGAACCGCGACCUUAAUUUUGUCUGACAUUUUCGUUGUUGGCUGGUUGCGGAAUCCUUCUUCUUAAUUUGAUUUUUUUUUGUUACACCAUCAACACAAUUUUUUUUUUAUUCGUAACUAAAAACAAUCAACACUACCAAAUCACGGACAUUACAUGAGAGGAUUGUGGAAAAUUUUCUCAAUCAAAAAAUCCUUCACGAGUAGGGGUGCAGGCAGCACACACAAAAAACUCCCCAAAGGGGGGUUACACCUUUGUGCACUUGUUUUUCUUCGCUCUCGGCCUCUCACAUACCACCAAAUACUAAAUUUUACACACAAAGAAUAACAGAAAUUUAUGAACGAAAAAAAACCCUCUUCACUUCUAUUGCGAAGGCGCCUUUG